GGCAGAAGUGAAUAACAAGCCAAUCAACAUACAAAAUGUUGAACAGAGCAGCUCAGCCACAGCCAUCAGCCAAACAUGAGAUUAGUGUGUGGUUGCAGACAGGACGGAUCUUCCUGUCAUAACCUUUCUGAAUUGAGAAGAGCCAGACACUCUGAAGAGAUGAAAGAGAUCUGGGUUGAGGUCCCCAUCCAGAACUCGGGCACGACUAAGAACAGAGGCGCAGCCAUGAACCACAAAGCUGGGAGUCUCACCAAAGGUAAGGAAAU